UGUGAAUAAUUUAGCUCGAAAUGAUUCUGAGGUUGUUUUUUUUAUUUGUUUAACUUUUGCUUUUGGUGGAGUUGAGCAGAUCCAUCGCCGCCACCGGCACUUGUUGGCAUUUUUCCGGCGGAGUCAAAACGAUCGCAGACUAGACUCCUGUAAUCCAGAAUUAACCAGUCUCCCAAUCCUGGAGCUGUUUGUCCAACAGUGAAGACCCAAGACCAGACUUCAGAAUGAACAGGAACUCUCCUAGAGUCUUCCUGAAGCUCCUUGAUCAGGAUCGGUGACAUUGAUCAUCCUCCUGCAAGUGUUGGAGCUGCAUCACACUUCUGUACCUCAUGUUGUCACAGCGUGUGCCAUCCUCCACAUCUGCCUCUGUGUUGACGACAACGAGGCCCCAGAGGAAGAUGUGGAGGUGAUGAGGAGGACGCUGGUUUGGAGAUCACAGCGGUGCUCUCUGGCAGGACCAACUACCGGCUGAGGUCUCUGCCCUGGGGGAGGUACCACCUUGAUUACUGGUAACAGCAUCCAUCGACAGCCAGCCCUGCAAACCCUGAAGAUGGACGAUGCCGUCUACAGUGAAGAUGAUCCUGAAACUCUGCAGACCACCUUGCAAGAUGUUCAAUCACCACUCAGAAAGUUCCAGCUCGGGUCUCUGUUGAAACAUCUCAUCCAUGUCAACCAUCUUUGUAAAUAGUUGGAAAUAAAAGUUACAAUUAAUCCAUGACAA